GCAGUGGUGGUUCGUGGGAGAAUUCUCGCCUUCCAUACAGGAGACCCAGGUUCGAUUCCUGGCCACUGCA
rnacentral:tRNA from 1 species